rnacentral:rRNA from 1 species
AUUGAACGCUGGCGGCAGGCCUAACACAUGCAAGUCGAGCGGGGUUUUCGGACCUAGCGGCGGACGGGUGAGUAAUGCGUAGGAAGCUGCCCGAUAGAGGGGGAUACCAGUUGGAAACGACUGUUAAUACCGCAUAAUGUCUACGGACCAAAGUGUGGGACCUUCGGGCCACAUGCUAUCGGAUGCGCCUACGUGGGAUUAGCUAGUUGGUGAGGUAAUGGCUCACCAAGGCGACGAUCUCUAGCUGGUUUGAGAGGAUGAUCAGCCACACUGGGACUGAGACACGGUCCAGACUCCUACGGGAGGCAGCAGUGGGGAAUAUUGGACAAUGGGCGCAAGCCUGAUCCAGCCAUGCCGCGUGUGUGAAGAAGGCCUUCGGGUUGUAAAGCACUUUCAGCGAGGAGGAAGGGGUGUGUGUUAAUAGUACACACCUUUGACGUUACUCGCAGAAGAAGCACCGGCUAACUCUGUGCCAGCCGCCGCAGUAAUAC